rnacentral:tmRNA from 1 species
GGGGAUGUAAAGGUUUCGACAGGGGCGAGUGUGGUAUAAAUAGCGAGUCGGCGUUCCAUUAGGCCGAUAAACGGUGGAAAACAUUUAAACGCAGAAGAAAAUUUUGCAUUAGCUGCAUAAGCUACGUUCUUCUAUCUCUGGCCCGUAGGGAUAGAAAGAACGUCAAACAACGGGCUAGCUUAAUUUAAAGACUCAUAUAAAUUAAGUAAAAUUACAUGAGUUAGAAAUAGUCUAGUUUGUUAAUGUACAAAAACUAUUUUGAAAUCAUAAAACAUUAACUGCACUCGGAGAAGUUUAUAUGGCAACGCUUUUGGACACGGGUUCGACUCCCGUCAUCUCCACCA